rnacentral:lncRNA from 10 species
AUUGAGAGGGCGAGCCCCGGGCGGGGGCGCGAGGACCGCCCGGGGACGGCCUGGCGCAGGGCCGUUAUCAGUCUCCAUCGGCUCCUGGGGCAGGAGAGAGAGAACGCGCCGGCGGAGGGCGCGGGGAGGGCCGGAGAGCCCGGGGUAGUUUUCCACCUCUCUCAUUUAUUCCGCCGCCGGAGAAAGCCGGGUUCGCAGCGCCGAAGCGCUUCCCGGCGGGUGCGCGGCGGCCACGGUGGCUUCGCUCACUGUCCCUGCAGAUACCCUCUCCCCGGCCAGGCGCCGUCCUGCGGCCGGACUCCCACCCUCCUCCCCAACCCGAGCCGGCGGUGCGCGCCACCCUCCGGGGUUUAUCCCUGGGGCGCAGGCCUGCGCGCGCGACCUCGCCCGCCAGGUCCUCCCGUUCCCGCCGCCGGGACCCCGGCCCCGAGAACUCCGACGAAAGCCGGCCCCUGCCUCCAAGCCGCUCUGGGGAAGUGAGCCAAGCCCCCAGCGGGGCCGGCGGCGGCGCUUACCCAGUCCGCUCAGCAGGAAGGACUCGCUCCUUUUCUGCGCCUCGGCCCUCUUUUUGUGGCGGGGCCGCAGCAGGGACUCGAGCCGGGCUCUGGCCAGCGCGCCCUGCAUCUCCCCCAUGGGCAGCGGGCGGCGGGGCGCGCGGCAGACGAGAGCGACCGGCGAGCACUGACGUUUCCUUGAAGGAGCCGCCGUGACUCAGGCCGGGCAAGAUUUCCUGCCCCGAGUCCCAAAACAAACAAAUGGCCCUUGUGCACGGUCGGGUCGCUUCCGAAAACGCCUUUUUUGUGCUUUUGGCCAAAACCAAGCAAGGCUGAAAAAUCCCAGAACUUGGAAGAGGAGGAAGGAAGGAAAGAAAGAGGGA